rnacentral:rRNA from 1 species
CCCCUAGAUGUUCUGGGCCGCACGCGCGCUACACUGAACAGUUCAACAAGUCUUAUCCUUGGCCGAUAGGUCUGGGUAAUCUUUGAACGCUGUUCGUGAUUGGGAUAGACCUUUGCAAUUAUGGGUCUUCAACGAGGAAUUCCUAGUAAACGCAAGUCAUCAGCUUGCAUUGAUUACGUCCCUGCCCUUUGUACACACCGCCCGUCGCACCUACCGAUUGAAUGGUCCGGUGAAAUCUCGGGACGGCGGCUUGGUCGCUUGCGUCCGACUGCUGAAACUUGAUUAAACCAUAUCAUUUAGAGGAAGGUGAAGUCGUAACA